UGGGCUGUAGCCAAGCGGUAAGGCACCAGACUUUGACUCUGGCAUCCCGCUGGUUCGAAUCCAGCCAGCCCAACCA
rnacentral:tRNA from 1 species